rnacentral:rRNA from 1 species
UACGGGGGGGGCAAGCGUUGUUCGGAAUUACUGGGCGUAAAGGGCGCGUAGGCGGUUCGCUAAGUUGGAUGUGAAAACUCUGGGCUCAACCCAGAGCCUGCAUCCAAAACUGGCGGGCUAGAGUUCUGGAGGGGGUAGCGGAAUUCCUGGUGUGGCGGUGAAAUGCGUAGAUAUCAGGAGGAACACCGGUGGCGAAGGCGGCUACCUGGACAGAAACUGACGCUGAGGCGCGAAAGCGUGGGGAGCAAACAGG